AGAAGACUUCACAAUUUAAUGCCUCAGUUUUUAAAAAAGGAUCCUUACACUUCAUGUCUCCUAGCCAUCAGAAGAGGAAUGAGACAGCAAAAGUUCAAAUGGCCUGUUUCAAGUUUCUGAUAUAAAACGAUGACAUUUUCAGGAAAAUCCUGGGUCAUUCCGGCUGCUUUUUUGAGAAGUCCCUGAAGAGAUCAAUAACAGCAAGAGGGAACCUGGCAAGGAAGCUAUUCCUAUAAUCCAGGAAAGAGAUGAGGAAGGCUUGGACCAGGUGGUAGUGGUGUCAGCUCUGCUUCCUCAUAGCUGCUUUCCAGAACGUGACUCUUGCAAAUUAUCAAGAAAGGGGAACUAAUCUAAGGGAUCCAGAUCAAACAGCCUCAUGAAGACUUAUUUUAUGUUUCUAAUAUAAAGAUAGAAGUUUUCAGAAAAGCCCUGCUACACAGAGGAUCAGAGCAGGGGUGGGCCUGCUGGGCUGCAGCUGGGAUUCUGAGCAUCCUUUCCCGGAGGCACGGAAAGUGAGUGAGUGAGCCCAGUGAGGAAGAAGUUGAAGCUUUGAUAUGAGUAAACAAGUAUCUCUACCUGAAAUGAUUAAAGACUGGACCAAAGAGCAUGUGAAAAAAUGGGUAAAUGAAGACCUUAAGAUUAAUGAGCAAUACGGGCAAAUUCUGCUCAGUGAAGAAGUAACAGGAUUAGUCCUGCAGGAAUUAACUGAGAAGGACCUUGUAGAAAUGGGGCUACCAUGGGGUCCAGCACUUUUGAUAAAACG
rnacentral:lncRNA from 1 species